AAAUAUCGGAGGUGGUACACACCCUCCUUCUCUUUACUCUUAGACAACUGUCUUAAAAAAGGCUGUAAAUGUUCAUCCAGCUGCUACAAUCUGAUUAGGAGUGUAAUAACCUUUGCUCAUGUGCUAGCUGCUAUUCCAGGCAGGGACACACGUAAGCUCCUUACGGAUGGGAGGGACCUGGACCCUCCCUGGCCGCAGGCUGAUGCCUUCCCAAUGAGGCACUGCGUCUUUAGAAGAUAACCUGCAUGGGACACAGCUCCCAAAAAUGUGCCUUCGACCCCUCCCAGGGUUGGUGGCAUCACCCAGGUGUGCUAGAAGGUAUAUAUUUUUCUUUUAUAUAUGUAGUUUUGGUCCAGGUCUUCACCUUGUUUAUUCACAUGAGAAUGAAUCGAGCUUUUGCACCCCAUGACCUGGUUUCUAACUCACAUGCUCCACAAGGAUGAGAUGAUUAAACCCAACUCAUCACAAAAUGGUCGUGCAAAUCCUCUUAGCUGAGCCGGGGAGCUGCUGAUGGGAGAAAGCUUUACCAUCGCCUGCGUGGGAGCAAGAACAAGCCAAUAAUCGCUGUCUGGUGUGAGGAGAAGCCCUGGGAGAGACAAGGCUGCUCUGAAGAUGCUCAAGAUGCUCAUGCAGAGUUGUCAUGGGCACGAUGCUCUCCGUAGUCAUCUCCAUGGCUACCUUGGCACUGAGCAGAGGGGAUGCAAGCGGCGUAGGAACGGCGUUGUUAGCUUAAAUGCUGCACGCUCUCUCUCAGCUGGUGUAAAUAAGUAAUGCUUGGGAUCAUCCAAGAGGUUUAUCUUCAGGGAUGAUGGCUGGUUUUUAGCCGGAGCUUGAAGGCAGCUGAGAUUGCAAAUGUGUUUGUUUAUGAAAAACAGAUUUGUAGCAUCUCCCCUAAGGUAUUUCUACAGUGGAUGCACUGGGGUACAAGUGCAUGAUGUACUCAGAUGAGGCUCAGGUUUUUUUUCUCACCCUUAGCCAAUGCGAUUGAAAAACCCAGAUAAUAUUCCUGCUUCUGACCCAAGAUUAUGCUAUCGGAAUGGCUACCUUAAGAAAAGAAGGCUGUGUAUAAAUAAGGAAGUUGAUUUUUCAGUGGGGUGUGGAGAAGGAAGCAUUUUGAAAUAAGGUUUUUUCCCUCAGCUAGCAAUUUUUUUGUAAACAGCAGCGAAGAUUAUGCACAAUAGGACCAUCUAGUUAAUACAGUCUGGACCUGAGGUGUGCUAGCUUUAGGGACUAAGCAGAGAUGCCAGAGCCGACAACUCCCCUAAAGGAUUUCUCCUUAAUUUUAUCUCCUUAACUUUUCCAAAGCAACUCCCAAUGCAGUGCAAACACUGUGGCUCGCAGCCUGCGUAGAGAAAGCUGGGACAAUAAAAGUCAUGGUAAAUCUGUGCAGCGGGCUUGAAUUACAAGGGAAGAAGCCCACAGGCUUUUCAGGGCUUGGGGGUGCUGCGAUCUCUGUGCUACCAAGAGCAAAAAACCAGAGGUGUCAAGUACAGGCUGCAAAGCAUUUUAUCUAUCAAUGCUUCAAGGGGAUGGAUGUUAAUAGUUCAUAAGACGAUGAACAUAAAACCUUGCUAUGAGCCCACGUGCGGGACCAGCACCGGAGGACAAACCCCAGCUUGGGUAAUGGCGUUUUGCUCCAGUGACAGGCAAAGAGAUCUUUUUUUCUCUCUACAAUUAUCCCUAAAGCUGCGGCUCGUUAAACUAUAUAACCCUAACGUGCCCUUUUCCCAGCAGCUCCAGUGACCUUGGCCCCGGGCUUGUUUUUCAGUGCAUUUCUCAGCAAGUCCAGCAAGGCUCUAGGGAGGGAAUAACGAUCAAAAUACAGCAACCAGAGGAAAUUAGUUUUGCAUUUGUGGCGGCACAUCAGGACACGCUGUUUAUCCUGAGCCGGAGUGGACCGGGCACGUCAUUCACACCGGGCUCGGUGCAAGGAGGCUUCCUGAAAGCAAAGCCCCAUCUGCAGCCGUUAAAUAGCAAGUAGUAAUGAGCACUAAUAAUACAACACAGUUUAUUUUUCCCAGGGUGUUUUAUUGUCCGUAUUCUGGCCUGAAACAUCUGUGCCGUCCAAAAUAUUUUUGUAGUAUCAAUAAUCCAAGGAGCUUGUCAUGUUAAAAAUAAAGGAAGCUGGAGCAAAGCCUCUGGGACUUGAUUUCUCACAAAGCAUAGCCUGUUUGGGAGCUUGGGUUAUUCUGCUAAGGAUUCAUUAGGUAAUCUGUUGCUCAAAAAAAAAAAAAAAGGAAAGUUUGACAAAAUUACAUCAACUCCUUGGCUGAGAUGAAAUGAAAUAAAGCUGAGAAUUGGUGUCUUAUUGCUCCCUCACUAAUCAUUGGAGCUCUCCUGCACGAAUAGCUUUAAAAUGAACGUUUUGGGGACUGGGAUGGGAAUGAAGUUUUGAACUGCUCUUCACAGCAGCUGUUUUGUAUUUAAGCUUUCUGAGUUGUUUUCAGAGAAUGAUGAGAAAAGCAGAUGGAGGAGGUUGCAGAUCCUUUUUCUGGAGAAAAAAGGGGGUUGGCGUCCCUUGAAAAAUGGGGAGAGAAAAAAAGAAAGGAAAUGAAAUAACAAUAGUAAACCUGGAUACUAUUUUAAUUCCAGAAAUAGGCUGAUUCUGGCAGAAUUGGCUGCUAAUACUUUUCCUGCAUUUCUCCUUAGUUCCGGGAAUAGAGAAGAACAACUUAUGUCUUGAAAUAGGUAUUGGUGGGGAACUGCACCUCGGCUGAGCAGAACUCCUGGCUCUCCACCACGGACCCAACCCAGCAAGGGAGAGCUGACAAUUCCACUGCCCUCCAGCCCUUUGAAUUAUUGAUCUUGUAUGUAUUAAUUAUAGACACUUCUCGAGGUCAGUAGGUAGAGCACGAGGAAGGUGUGCCGGGUCAGGUGUUGCAGGAGUUGAAUUUCAAGAGAGGAGGAUUUGAGAAGGGAAGUGGUUUAAUCAACACCAGUUUAGUUAAGUCCUUGUAAGUGCACAGAACACGGAUCCCAGACAAACUGAGAUACCCACUUUUUGUAAAAAAAAAAAAACAAAAACCACAUGCAGGAGCUGGAAAUGAGCUAAUUUCAGUCUUUAAUUUAUCAAUACAGGUAAUCAAGCAGAGGGAAGGUGUGUCAGCCUAUGAGAGGGGGUCCCUUUGGGGAGGGAUUGGAGUUAAUCAUAAACCAUGACCUUGCUUUGGGUG